GGGCCAGAGCAAUAACACUUCAGGAUGCUGAAACAGAGGCAACAAUUUUUUUCUCUGUAGUCCCUAGAGUUGAACAGACACAUUUCAAACCUCAUCCAAGUUUAGGACUUUUUGAAAACGUUGGCAUUGCAAGUAAGAGAAUGUGCUUGGAUAAAAAUGUUGCCAUUAAGAAUGGGAGAAGGUGCUUGGAAUCUUAGUCUUGUGCAUUGAAGAAGGAUAAGAAAGAGGAAGAAGUAGAACCAUAAGCUUUCCCACGGACACCCUUCCCUGCUGCUUCCGUCAAAAUCUUGGAGUGUGGGAGUCAGGAGUCACUUCUUGGCAGCUUCUCCCUGGGCUGCCAAAUCUGCCUCUUUCUGAUCAGCCGGAAAUGUGGCUUGCUCCUUCUGGAAAGCUGCCAGUAUUAAUGAAAUCGUGUUUGACUUUUAUGGCUUUGUUCCUUUACUUGAGACUCAAGACAAAUUUGAGGGAAAAAUUUAACCCUAACUGA
rnacentral:lncRNA from 1 species